rnacentral:rRNA from 1 species
AGAGUUUGAUCCUGGCUCAGGACGAACGCUGGCGGCGUGCCUAAUACAUGCUAGUCGAGCGCGGGAAGCGAGCUGAUCCCCUUCGGGGGUGACGCUCGUGGAACGAGCGGCGGACGGGUGAGUAACACGUGGGCAACCUGCCUGUAAGAUCGGAAUAACUCCGGGAAACCGGAGCUAAUGCCGGGUAACAUGUUCCUUCGCAUGAAGGAACAUUAAAAGAUGGCUUCUCGCUAUCACUUACAGAUGGGCCCGCGGCGCAUUAGCUAGUUGGUGAGGUAACGGCUCACCAAGGCAACGAUGCGUAGCCGACCUGAGAGGGUGAUCGGCCACACUGGGACUGAGACACGGCCCAGACUCCUACGGGAGGCAGCAGUAGGGAAUCUUCCGCAAUGGACGAAAGUCUGACGGAGCAACGCCGCGUGAACGAUGAAGGUCUUCGGAUCGUAAAGUUCUGUUGUUAGGGAAGAACAAGUACCGUGCGAAUAGAGCGGUACCUUGACGGUACCUAACGAGGAAGCCCCGGCUAACUACGUGCCAGCAGCCGCGGUAAUACGUAGGGGGCAAGCGUUGUCCGGAAUUAUUGGGCGUAAAGCGCGCGCAGGCGGUUCCUUAAGUCUGAUGUGAAAGGCCACGGCUCAACCGUGGAGGGCCAUUGGAAACUGGGGAACUUGAGGACAGAAGAGGAGAGUGGAAUUCCACGUGUAGCGGUGAAAUGCGUAGAUAUGUGGAGGAACACCAGUGGGCGAAGGCGACUCUCUGGUCUUGUUCUGACGCUGAGGUGCGAAAGCGUGGGUAGCAAACAGGAUUAGAUACCCCUGGUAGUCCACGCCGUAAACGAUGAGUGCUAGGUGUUAGGGGGCUUCCACCCCUUA